rnacentral:rRNA from 1 species
UCCACGCCCUAAACGAUGAACACUAGUCGUCGGGAUGCUAGUCAUCUCGGUGAUGCACUUAACAGAUUAAGUGUUCCGCCUGGGGAGUACGGUCGCAAGAUUAAAACUCAAAGGAAUAGACGGGGACCCGCACAAGUGGUGGAGCCAAUCUCAUAAAGCGUCUCUCAGUUCGGAUAGCAGUCUGCAACUCGACUGCUUGAAGCUGGAAUCACUAGUAAUCGUAGAUCAG